CCGUUAUGGAGGCACGUGCAAGGCGGCCGAGCCACGGCGUGAUGAGCAUAUUUCUUUCAAUGGAGCUCCUGCUCGGUUUUCUUUUGGCUUGGAGUGUUUCCAGGACUACGUCGCUGUCACUCUCGUCUUGGUUUCUCCGGACACCGCGAUCGCUUCACCCUGGCCGGGUUGACUUUCAGCAGUUUCAUUAUAAUGUGGCUCGACGUCCUUUUUUCUAGGAUUUUUUUUCCCUUACUUAAAAAAAUUUAUUUGAAACACAGCAUUUAUAGAGAGAGAAGAUGAGAGAGAGAGACAGAGAGAGAGAGAGAGAGAGAGAGAGAGAGAGAGAGAGAUCCUCCAUCCGCUGGUUCACUCCCCAGAUGCUGCAACAGCCAGAGCUGUGCUGAUCCGGAAAAUCCAGGAGCCAGGAGCUUCUCCAGGUCUCCCACGUGGGUGCAGGGGCCCAAGGACUCGGGCCAUCUUCUGCUGCUUUCCCAGGCCACAGCAGAGAGCUGGAUCGGAAGAGGAGCAUCCGGGACUCGAACAUCGCAGGCGGCGGCUUUACCCACUACACCACAGCGCGGGCCCCUUUCUUCUUCCUACUGCUCGUAUUUCCUCCCUUCCCGGCUGCCUGCGGAGUUUAGCCGCAUGCACUGUGAUUCCCCCAUGCCGGGUGGCUGGAGUUUUUCCUGGCUUUGUUCUGAGACGCUGUAAGGUGCCUCGGCGGCUGUCUGGUUCCUUCAAGGUUUGGUCUGUGCUUUGUGGGCAGGUCUGGGUCGGCCUCUCGCCCAGGGCGAAUCCGAGCCCUCCCGAGGACGCCAGCCUGUCACUGCCAGGUCUCCCGCUCUGCUGCUGCGCGAGGGGCCUUGUCCGUGUCUGUGGGCUCAGGGGACCGCUGUGCCUCUCCCCUGACGAUGGCUCUUCGCUCAGCCAGCUGGUUCUCGACACAUGGCCCAGACCGGCACUUCCCCGAAGCCGGCAGGAGGACCCUCUGCAGACCCCGGCCGCUCUCCCUGGGGUGCUCUCUCCUCUGGUGUCCCACGCCGUGCCUUACAGGAGUCCCGAG
rnacentral:lncRNA from 1 species